rnacentral:rRNA from 1 species
AUUGAACGCUGGCGGCAUGCCUUACACAUGCAAGUCGAACGGUAACAGGCCGCAAGGUGCUGACGAGUGGCGAACGGGUGAGUAAUGCAUCGGAACGUGCCCAGUCGUGGGGGAUAACUGCUCGAAAGAGCAGCUAAUACCGCAUACGACCUGAGGGUGAAAGCGGGGGACCGUAAGGCCUCGUGCGAUUGGAGCGGCCGAUGUCAGAUUAGCUAGUUGGUGGGGUAAAGGCCUACCAAGGCAACGAUCUGUAGUUGGUCUGAGAGGACGACCAGCCACACUGGGACUGAGACACGGCCCAGACUCCUACGGGAGGCAGCAUUGGGGAAUUUUGGACAAUGGGCGCAAGCCUGAUCCAGCAAUGCCGCGUGCAGGAAGAAGGCCUUCGGGUUGUAAACUGCUUUUGUCAGGGAAGAAAUCUUCUGGGCUAAUACCCCGGGAGGAUGACGGUACCCGAAGAAUAAGCACCGGCUAACUACGUGCCAGCAGCCGCCGUAAUAC